CAAUAAAGUAGUUCCGUUUAUUUUCAUUGACAAUGCCCAUGUGACUAUAAGAUUGUUAGUGGGAUCUUUCUCGACACAGUCUUGUCAUCGCCCUUGUAACAAGGGACACCAGGGACAUCCAUUCACCAUGAAGGCUGUCGUAGUAGCGGUCCUGGCCUUGGCUUGCGUCAUUGGUGUAGUGGUGUGCCAGUUUUAUAACCCAUAUGGAGUAUAUGGAGGCGGUCAACAGCAAGAAAGCGUCGGAGGCUCGUUUUUGCCCCUGCUCGGCCUACUAUUUCUACUAAUUAUAUUGUUUGGCAACCGUUCUGGGACCACGACAAUCUUAUACGGUAACUAUUCAGAUCCCCCAGAAGGUAACGGUUAAAGAUGUCAAAGGUUUUUUACACAGAUUAUACCGGGCAAAGUAUCAAGACGACUUGCAUUUCAAUCAUAGGCAUCCGGUAUAUCAGAUGACACGCCUACUUGUUAUUCAUUCUUGCAAUGUUAUGCUUAAACUUCUCUGUUUCUUUGUAAUGAAAAUACAUCCUGCAAUUUUUGUAAAA